AGAGCGAACGCUGGCGGCAGGCUUAACACAUGCAAGUCGAGCGGGCGUAGCAAUACGUCAGCGGCAGACGGGUGAGUAACGCGUGGGAACGUACCUUUUGGUUCGGAACAACACAGGGAAACUUGUGCUAAUACCGGAUAAGCCCUUACGGGGAAAGAUUUAUCGCCAAAAGAUCGGCCCGCGUCUGAUUAGCUAGUUGGUGAGGUAACGGCUCACCAAGGCGACGAUCAGUAGCUGGUCUGAGAGGAUGAUCAGCCACAUUGGGACUGAGACACGGCCCAAACUCCUACGGGAGGCAGCAGUGGGGAAUAUUGGACAAUGGGCGCAAGCCUGAUCCAGCCAUGCCGCGUGAGUGAUGAAGGCCCUUGGGGUGUAAACUCCUUUCGAUCGGGAAGAUAAUGACGGUACCGAUAUAAGAAGCCCCGGCUAACUUCGCGCCAGCAGCCGC
rnacentral:rRNA from 1 species